ACUGGCAACCUGUCCAGGAUGUAAUCUGUGUCCCUGCCUACGGAUAGCUGUCAGGGUGCUGUCUGACUGCUCUGGUUCUGAGUCUUUCUCACAGGUGGUGUUGGUGAUUGUGGGGGCGUGCCCCACACCUGUGGCUCAUCGGGAGCAGAAUCUGCGGCCUUCUUAAGCAGAGCUGUGACAGAUGGAAGACGGCAGAGCCUUAACCAGUCGUGGUACGACAAAGCCGACCAAGUCCUGGAUACCUAUUCGUGAGUCUGUUCUGGUUUUCUCGCUACAUUGGAUUUACUUCUGUUUUUUCCUGUUUUUGCUACAGUUUUGCGUGCUUGGAUGCACAUACCUGUUCCGGAGAUUUUUGUGAAGAGUGAUCCGUGGAUUCCUUUGCUCAGUUUUUCGCGCUGGCUCUCCUCCUCAAACUAGUUGGCAAAUACCCAGCCGGGGUGAGACCCCCCUCCCGGAUACCCAUGGACGCUCGCCUGCUCAGCCCUCCGGUCACUCCAUCUGUCUCUUCAGCCUGCGGUUGUUGCCUCGGGUUCCUCGCCAGACUCCAUCUGCCGCCCUCCAAUCUCCACCCACACUUCAGAGUAGACAGUAGUACCAUGACCAUAACCUCCCCAGUCCGACACUCACCGACUAAGGGUAAGCCGCGCAUUAUCCACAAUUCGCUGUUCUCGUCAUCUCCUCAUUUGGUCUCCUUCCUUUACAGUCAACCCCGCCCAGACGUUCAGGCCUCGAUCCCGGCGUCCAGUCAUAGCUCCGUGUAUUCGCUCUGUUCCUUUAUUAAAAACUCUUAAACUGAGUGCUGGUCUCCCUAAUACUUUCUGCAUGUGGGCUAAAGCGCUAAAAAACAUGACAGAGGAAGGCUCCGGCCAGACAAGCCCAGCAGAGGUAUUCGGGAGACAACUAGCCGCUCAACACGAUCAGAUGCAAUCACUCGGGUUAGCCGUUAGUUCUACUCAUGAGCAGCUACAACAUGUAGCCGCUCAGCUUACCCAUCUCACUAACUCCCUAACUUCCGUGUUGUCUCAACCUGUCAGUCAAGCUGCCGCAGCUCCGCCUUCCGCCAACGUUAAUCUGGAAGUAGUGGCUUCACCACCACCUAUCGAAGGAUUAUCCCCGAAUCCCAAAAGGUUUACCGGCGAAAGCGGAGGCCGCAGUGGAUUCCUGUUCCAAUGUAAGUUGGUUUUUGCUAGUUCUCGUAGUCAAUUCCCUUCGGACCAAAUUAAGAUCGCCUAUGUUCUCGGAUUGUUGUCAGGUAAAGCGAUCAGGUUAAGUCAAGGCGUUGUUUACCACUGUCCUUGAGGAUGGGCAGGGACAGUUUGAAGAUGUUAGCUUUGGUGGAUUCGGGUUCUGAUUUUAACCUGAUUGAUCAAAGACUAGUUAACCAACUUCAUAUCUCCACAGAAAGAUUGCCUGAUCCCCUAGAAGUUUCAGCCUUAGAUGGUCAGGGGCUGACCAAGAUCACACACCGUACCAGUCUCCUCGAGGUAAUCAUUUCCGGUAACCAUCGUGAGAAGUUAUCUUUUUACGUUUUCCCAGUUAGACGUUACCCUGUCGUAUUAGGACUAGCAUGGUUAGUUGUUCACAACCCUCACAUUGAUUGGACUGAAUCCAGAAUAGAAGCUUGGUCACCGGCUUGCCACGCCCGUUGUUUACACUCAGCCCGUCCGGUUUCACAUUCAUCCGUUUCUAGACCCCAGUCUGAGGAUCAGAUUGAUUUCUCACGGAUUCCUGAGGACUAUCACGAUUUACGUCAGGUUUUUAGUAAGAGUCGGGCAAGCUCUUUGCCACCCCAUCGCCCCUAUGACUGUGCCAUCGAGUUGUUACCGGGUGCUCCCCUGCCGACCAGUCUCCUCUAUAACAUCUUGAGGUCUGAACGUCAGGCGCUCGAGGAGUACAUCAGCGAGUUGCUGUCGGCGGGGUUGAUUCGACCUUCUUCCUCCCCGCUUGGUGCUGGUUUCAUAGAUAUCCAUAAUAAAGGCUAGAUGUCUUACGGCGGAGUCUCAAACGUCAUCACCGGCGGCCAUCUUGCCUCAGGCAAGCUUUCUGGCGUGCUCUGUGGUACCUAAUGUAAGGAUUUGUUGAGCGACGGGCUCUGAAGAAGCUGUCCUGUGAUGUCUGCCGUGCCAGCUUGGUAACAGAUGCUGCAUCUGCCAUCAAGGACCAGAGCUACCACCUGCUGAAGUUAAAAAACAAUGGAAAUCUGGUGAUUCCAUCAGAAGGCACAGUGAUGUGGUCAGGACAGCAGAGUGGGUCAUUCGUCAGACCUCAUGUACCAGACGAUCACAGCCUAUCAAAGUGCUAGAGGUCGUGUACAUUGUACGGAAGAGGAUAGGGUCAGAGGAUGUGUUUGUGCUCAGAGAGCACAUCGGAGAAACACAGUAUGGCAUAGACAGCCACCACCAUACGCUGUUAACAUUGGUUGUGUCCUUGUUUUUUAAGUUAAGGCUGCACCACAUUGCCAAAAUAACUAACCUUAGCUUACAGAGCAACAACAUGCAACAGAAGCUCAAUAAAACCGUCCUUUUCAAAGGGCAUUAGCCAA